GACGAACGCUGGCGGCGUGCUUAACACAUGCAAGUCGAGCGGGUAAGGCCCUUUCGGGGUACGACGAGCGGCGAACGGUGAGUAACACGUGGGUGACCUGCCCUCAGCUCUGGGAUAAGCCUGGGAAACCGGGUCGUAAUACCGGAUAUGACUCCAUGACGCAUGUUGUGGGGUGGAAAGCCUUGUGCGGCUGAGGAUGGGCCCGCGGCCUAUCAGC
rnacentral:rRNA from 1 species